rnacentral:rRNA from 1 species
GUGGGGAAUUGUUCGCAAUGGGCGCAAGCCUGACGACGCAACGCCGCGUGGAGGAUGAAGAUUUUCGGAUCGUAAACUCCUGUCGAAUGGGACGAAAAGAUUGCGGGUGAACAGCCCGUAGUCCUGACGGUACCGUUAAAGGAAACCCCGGCUAACUCCGUGCCAGCAGCCGCGGUAAUACGGGGGGGGUAAGCGUUGUUCGGAAUUACUGGGCGUAAAGGGCUCGUAGGCGGCCAACUAAGUCGGACGUGAAAUCCCUCAGCUUAACUGGGGAACUGCGUCCGAUACUGGAUGGCUUGGAUUUGGGAGAGGGAUGCGGAAUUCCAGGUGUAGCGGUGAAAUGCGUAGAUAUCUGGAGGAACACCGGUGGCGAAGGCGGCAUCCUGGACCAAUAUUGACGCUGAGGAGCGAAAGCCAGGGGAGCAAACGGGAUUAGAUACCCGAGUAGUCC